GCCAGCAUGGUCCAAUGGUUUGAAUAUUGGACUACAACUCUGGAUAUCAGGGUUUGAAUCCCUGCUCGGCCA